UCUCUCUCUCUCUCUCUCUCUCUCUCUCUCUCUCUCUCUCUCUUUCUCUCUUUCUCUCUUUCUCUGUUUCGUUCUGUCUUAACAGCCCGCUCUCUUUCUCUCUCUCUUUUUCUGUAUCUGUAGAGGGUUUUCCCUUUUUUGCUCCCAUCCUAUCAUUAGAUGUGUUGGUUGAGAUCUUUGCUAUUUUUACACAUUCAUCUUUGACAACUCUUAAGAAAGCACAUGCACUGGUUAAGAAACCGAAAACAUUCAAAAUGCACUGACUGCGUCUUACCCUAUAGAAUCAAAACUCUGAACCGCCCCUUAAUUCUGCUAACUAUUCUUCGCUAACCUCCCUUGCGCCCUCAGAGGGUGCAGGGCACUACAUUACCGCAGCUUAUCUAGUCACUAGCCAACUACCAGUCAGCUCAGUAGCAGGGAAGCAACUACUUCUUCGUCUUCUUCUUCUUCUUCUUCUUCCUCUUCACGCACUUCUUAAACUUCAGCUCUCAUCCGCUUGUCCACCCACCAACCCGGCCUUCCAUCUUUUGUCAUCGCUUUGGGGUGAUUUCCCAGCUGACUCUGUUUGUCAUGGCAACCAGCGUCGUGGCGACUGGCCCUGCCUGCAGCUCCUACUUCCUGUGUGUGUGUGUGUGUGUGUGCUUGUGCCUGCCUUCUCAAGUGAGACUGCGUGGGUUUGUGUGUGUGUGUGUGUGUGCGCAUGUUGGGCGCAUGCGCUGUGUGCUUGCAGACAGGGGGACUCUGUGUGUGAGCCUGUCAGCCUGGAUUAGACUCAAACCACAAUGCAGCGAUGCACUUCAACCCCCCCCCCCCCCCCUUUCCCCCCCCCCGCCACACGCACACACACACGUACACACACGUACAUGCUUCAGCUCUGCCUCUCCUUUACUCUUAGUUUCACUCUGGUUCUCACUGCCUCACUUGGUCUCUCUCUCUUUCCCUCUCUCGCUCUCUCCCUUGCUCUGUAGCUCACUAUGUCUCCCAUCCUUGCUCUCACGUUCUCUACCCGUCCUUCUGCGGGUGAGGUUGAGAUAAAGCACAGGAGGUAGAUGGAGGGCUGACGGACAGAGGACAAACAGAUCCACGGGGCAGAGCUCCAUGUAGUUGCGGUAUAUCUGUGAGAGGCGUGUUCCUGUUCAUACCCAAGCCUCCAGAUACAAGCAACUUAGCCGUAGCGAUCCAACAUGGCGGAGCGACUCGUUGGGAGAAGAGUGCAGCGUGCGCCCGAGUGGGGGAGGGCUGGGCUAUAAAUCUGGCCUAUGAUCCCCUGAACACUGCUAUUACAUAACUCAGUGUGUGUGAGUGUGUGUGUGUGUGUGUGUGUGUGUGUGUGUGUGUGUGUGUGUGUGUGUGUGUGUGUGUGUGUGUGUGUGUGUGUGUGUGUGUGUGUGUGUGUGUGUGUGUGUGUGUGUGUGUGUUUGUGUGUGUGUGUGUGUGUGUAAGGGGUGUCUGAGUGUGUGUGUGUAUGUUUGUUUGUGUGUGUGUGUGUUGCUGAAUCCAUCACAGUGUUGUGAGCCAGGUGGACAAGAGCUGACGGCAACCAUAUAAUGUUCACAGAGGAUUACUUAUUAUUAUUAUUAUCAUUAUUAUUAUUAUAUUAUUAUUAAUAUUGUUUCCUUUUGAUAUUUUCACCCUUCUUGGAGUGAACCUUUGGAGUGAUUUGCUUUUUGUUUUGUUAAUGAAGUUAUUUAUUCUGUGCUCCUUUUUUUGUUAUUUUGUUUCCCUUCCUGUGUAAGAUAUUUAUUUUCUGGUGUGAAGUGAACCAUUUGAAUUGUAAUCGUGUGUACAGAAUGUGUGGCGAGAAUGUACUCUGCCCCAGAUAGGAUUGUUAAUCACUUAUGGAUUUUAUCGGUGGAAGCCAUUAUAUACGAAAUAUAUCUGUCUGUUUUUUUUUCACACUUCCUUCCCUGUUUUAUUUGUCAUGUGGGGUUGGGCGCUGCACAAGCGAUGAAGGUCUGCCUCUUAAUUCCUUUCAUUUCCUUUUUCUUUUGUUUUUUAAAGAAUAAUUGUAACAGUUUGUGGGUCCGGGGAACAGUCGAUGCAGCUCAAUUACUCCCAAACUGUCCUCUGCAUUCAGAUGUCAACACUCCAAAGCCUGUCACAGACUCAUGCCAAAAGUAAUGUACAUAGUCUACGCCUAGCGGGGAGCUCCCGGUAAUGUAUAUAGCACGCCUGGAGAGCCCCCCUCAUUUCAUCAGUGUUCCUUCUACAUGUCCUUUCUUUGUUGUCUGUUAGUUUUUGUCACCCAAAUCUAUUUUUACCGCUGUCUUGUACACUCUGAAGUGAACCUACAAGACCCUUUUAGGGUCAGAUGUGUUGGGGCUGGUGAGUGGGUGGGGUUGGGUGGGGUGGGGUGGGGUGGGGUAGGGACCGCUAGGAACAUUGUGACUGGCUAUGCAGUCACAAUGUUCUCCCUGCUGUCCAACAUUCGAAGGCUGUAUUUUUCACAGACCCUAGUGCUGUGCCUUUUUCUAUGCAAUAUAAACAAGGACAACAAACACAAAUCGUCUGACGUGGAGAGAGCAACAUUAUCAGAUGAUCACUGUAUUGGGAUCCAAAAUGUGGACUAGAUAAGACAUGCGUGUGUGUGUUUGUUUGUAUGUCUGGAUCUGAGUGUGUGUUGGUGUGUCUGUCUGAAAUUGUGUGUGUGUGUGGGUGGGUCCGAAUGUGUGUGUAUGUGUAUGUGGGAUAAAAUGGACGGGGUCUAUGAAUUUGAAGCAGUCUUACUUUUGUAGUUUUAUAUAUAUAUAUACAUAUAUAUAUACAUACAAUAAAACUCUUAAAA